UCCAGCCAUCGACCAUCCUCAUCAGAACUUUCUUGUGUCCACAAAUAUCUGCUUUCUGACUGUAGAGAGUUUCCAUCGAGUGGCAUAAGAGAUCCACGAAAGGAAAUGUUGGCUGUGGAGAAUCAGAGCAACUGAAUCCUUUGGCUCAACUAAUUACCUGGCGCAACCGUCAGCCAUGCUUUACCUUACAACAGAAGAAAAUGUUACCAAAAGAUUGGAUUAAUUGAUUUAAUCCUGAGAAUUUGAAGUCAUUGAUGAGAACACCUACGUGAGUCACAGUAAGUGCAGUACAAACGUAAGUGAAUUAAACCAAGUUCAUUUCCUUUCUCUUGGCCUGGCAUUUUGAGGGAUACAACAAUAAUUAAUCCCUUCCUUCUGUGUUACAUAAAACAACACAUGGAAUACGUUUGCAUUACCAAUACCUCCAAAUGAUAUUGGAAUUUGUUUUGCUGAAAUAUUGAGAUGGAAAAUGACUGUGUGGCGUUCAGGUAAGCAAGUCACGAAAGAUGCAGAUUUGUGUUGUCUCAAAUAUGGGUGAGGUUUUGAAAAGAUAAAACUAGGAUUGAAGGGCAUAUAAGGAGGGACAGGUUAGAAACAGUGAGGUGAGCUAGAGAAUUGGAGAAAACUGAGUCACUGGAGAAUCAUAUUGGGGCCAAGUCAAAUUGAGUCUUGGGUAUCAUGAUUAUAAAUCUAGAUUUAUGCCAUAGGUAGCCAGAAACAAAUUUUAAGCAAUGGAGUCCUAACACUGGCAGGAUAUGCACAGGAGAAAAUAUAUAAAUCUACCAUGAAUCUUUUAGAAUAGUACAACUUAGAAGAGAC
rnacentral:lncRNA from 1 species